CGGAGUAGGUAAAUCAGUUUUCCCUGGUUUCAAGAAACCAUGGUCUCACUUGUUGUUGGAGAUGUGACGUGACUCGACUAGGGUGCCACCUUCUGCUUGGAUGAAGGAGUUGAUGACCCAUUUCUCACUUGUGGGUAGAGUAUAUAGCUGCAACAAAAGCUUCACUGUAUAUUUUCAGCUUGCUUAAUUGAGCUGAACUAGCUAUAUUCUUGCCAGCUGCACAUGGUGUUGCUAUAGCUUUAUGAUGUUGCAAACUUGUCCAGCUACAUGCAGCUGUCUGUUAUCUAGAUAGAUAUAAUUAUAGCUAGUAUAGCUACUCUUUUAGGACAACCACUUAUCAACUUGCUGUUCUGUCAGCACUGACCGUACCAUUUAUAGAAGUGUCCCAAGCUAACAAGUAAAUUGUUCCAUAGCUACCUCUGCACAAGAGUCACCUACCAGCAGUCAUGUUUGUCGAAUGUAAAUGUCUGCCCUAGAUUCUAGAACAUAAUUAUUUGGUUGUCCGAUGAUUCUUAUUUCAAAUGGGAACAGUUUUUGGACACUGGAAUUGGGAUACAGUACCAACCUUACCUCUUCAAUUUGCUCUGACAACGCUCAGCAGAUCUAUUCCUCUACUGGAAAACCCUGGAAAAUCCGGGAUCCUAAGAACAGAAGGAAAACUGCUGUUUUACUAUUUGGAUUUACGCUAUUGCAAACAGGAAUUUUUUUCGCAAAUGCACUAUUGAGCAGUGAUGAAACUGUAUGCUAAGUUACAGUCAUUUUUCCUCGAGUGAAGACCAGUGACACGUUAUUCCACUAAUCUGAUAGUAUUUAUGUGUGUGUUUAUGUGUUAGAAAGAUAACAUAUUUAUUUAUUUAUCUUCACAAUGCAAAUACUACACAUACUAAAGGUUGCGAAUUGGCAAGUUGUGUCAAUUAUUACUCUAUAUUUUGUUUUUAUUCGCAUAUCAUAAAGGGAAGGUUAACUUCAU